rnacentral:rRNA from 1 species
CCUACGGGAGGCAGCAGUGAGGAAUAUUGGUCAAUGGGCGCGAGCCUGAACCAGCCACGUAGCGUGAAGGAUGACUGCCCUACGCGUUGUAAACUUCUUUUGUAAAGGAGUAAAUUGCGGCACGUGUGCCUUUUUGUCUGUACUUUAUGAAUAAGGAUCGGCUAACUCCGUGCCAGCAGCCGCGGUAAUACGGAGGAUCCGAGCGUUAUCCGGAUUUAUUGGGUUUAAAGGGCGCGUAGAUGGGUUGUUAAGUCAGUUGUGAAAGUUCGCGGCUCAACCGUAAAACUGCAAUUGAUACUGGCAGGCUUGAGUGCAGGUGAGGUAGGCGGAAUUCGUGGUGUAGCGGUGAAAUGCGUAGAUAUCACGAAGAACACCGAUGGCGAAGGCAGCUUACUAAACUGCCACUGACAUUGAGGCUCGAAAGUGUGGGGAGCAAACAGGAUUAGAUACCCGAGUAGUC